rnacentral:lncRNA from 1 species
AGCUGGAGACCGGAGCCCGUUACGGUCUGGGAGGGGCAAGACCCUGAUUUGGCGCAUUCCUCCAAUGCAGGCUCACAGCCGUCGGCAAGCACUGCUCCUGAGAAUACCCCUGAUGAAGCGGGGCCAUCAGGUACUUACCUUCAAACAACACACAUCCUGCUGAUGGGGGCCAUCAGCAGCCUUCUUCUGCCCACUGAGAUAAUUGGCUGAAAACAAGCAGUACACAAAGAGUAUCUGGCAUAUUUGUGAAUUUCCAGGGUCAGUAGAAUGAAAGGGAUGGCUUUACUGGGCGAAAGUUGAAGGACUGGGGUUGAAGUGCAAAUUCUUAAGUGCAUGGGCGGCAUGUGCUGGCAGGUGCCGGAGCUGACAUGUCAGAGGAUGAAUUUGAGAAGAGAGCUGCACAGGCCGAAGCCUCUCUCGCUGCAUAUGCGAGCAACAGCGGAGUCGCGGGCUUUGUGGGCGAGA